AGGGUCUGAAGUAUGAGCAAGGCUACAGAAAUUCAUAUUCCCCCUUCAUAAUUAAGUCUGUAUAAAUAUGAAUUUGUAAUAAAGUGACUGCUGUAUUGGAGAUACUAAUCAAGGUUGCCUAUUAUUUAUCUUUAGACACAGGGUCCUACUAAGCUGGCCUGGCUGCCCCAGGUUGAUCUUUUCCCUUUGAGACAAUUUGAGACUGCAAGCAUGCUUAGCUAAAAAGAUCGCUUUUGUGCUUAGAACUAAAUCAAGACUAAGCCUGAUGGAAUUCUACUUUGGGAAGGGAAGACUGCUACACGAUGGUACAAGAUCCUUUUUAGCUUUCAACCUUGAUGCUAUGAGGGUGAGCAGGCUGUCGAAGCUCUCUGUGUCACGGUUUCCAAACUGUAUCAACUAGCCAUAACAAGGCUUCCCUCAUGAGCUUGCUGAGGAUGAAGGAAGUUCACACCUGGACAUAGCCAAGGUGCCUUCAACCUGAGUUGUGAACAGUGGGAGUGACAUCUUCGCUGAAACAGAUCAGGGCCACAUGCAAGGUUCCAUGCUGCAGCUGUCUCAUGGGCCUGAGACCCAGCCAACCUCCUUGUAAGGUAAGGCGUCAUGGCAGUGGUCGUGAAGGGAGGCCAUAACUCCUGACAUGACCUCAGUCUGGAGAGUCAACAGAGCAAUACAAUGCCUACGCCAAUCUCAAUACACAGGUAAUAAGGAGAAAAGGGCAAGGCACAUUAAGGAAUCCAUGCAAGGGGCACAUACACAGUAGGGUGACACAACACUGGUGGAUCUUCCUGUACACUUGAACCUCAACUAGCUUCUAGUAACAUUUCCUUGUUGCCGCCAAAUGGUAGAGGGCUCCUAGGACAGACAGUUGAAGCCAGUCUCAAAUUUGCACAAGGUAGUAUACUUUUCCUCAUUACCAACAGGCUUAAAAAUCCCACAUUAAAAUGACAACUGGGUGAGUUCAAAAUGUGCCAGUCAUCAUCUUAAAUAGACAAUACUGAAGAAUAAUGGUUAUGUAACUUACUGCCUGCCAUUGAGUUAAAUACACACACACACACACACACACACACACACACACACACACCUCACAGAGUUUUAAGAAAGCUUAUAGUUUUAUGUUGGGCCACAUUCACAGCUAAAAUUUAUUUGAAAAAAAAAACAUUUAAAGAUAGAACACAAUGUUUAAAAGGCAAGUUACAUAAUGACUUCACUUUUAUUUCUAAAUGGACCACAUUAGGAAAGAAAAAUAAAUAAAUAAAAAUAAACUGGAAAGAAGUCCAUGUGUGAGAAGAGGUUAUCUCAGAGUAUUUGGAGUUUCAGUGACUGGUUUUGCUUUUUUUUUUUUUUUUUUUUUUGUACCAUCAUUCAUAGGUCCCAUCUGUGCAGCAUCUAAACUUUCCAUCAAGUCAGAUCUCACACCAUUCUCCAGAGUCUAGCACGGUGGGUCUCCCUGGCCCUUCUCAUCCAGGCCUUCUCGCCAAUCUACCAGAUCAAGCCAUGGUCUCAGAUUCAGUGCCCUGGCCUCAUCUUGCCUCCCAUGCCUUUACCAGAAGCAUUCUCUAGACUUCUUCCAGGACCCUCUCUACCUUUACCCCAAACCACAGACCUUACCCAUGCCACAUCCAACCUUUCCACCCAGUCAGAUUCAUCUUUACACCUAUACCUAGGCUUGGAUGAGAAUGUACAUCGUGUACACUAGCCCAGGCCCCUCUGUCUAUCUGAUGGGAUUCAACACUUGGCAUUUCCAACCUCUAGGUCCCAAUUUACUCACAAGUACUUUCUGUGUCCCAACAACAUAUUAAUAUCAUCAUUAAAACUAAAAUAUAACUCCACAUGCCUAGAUCUCUGUGUAAAACUACAAAAUAUGAAAGAUCAAGCCAGUAUCUUCUCUUUUAAACCUACUAGGUUGUCAUGACAAUUGCCUAGAUGAACCCCAGGACACAGAAUUUAAAAGAACAAUCAUAAACUUUCUCAAAUAACCCAAGAAGUUUAAAGAUAGUACAAAGAAACAAAUCAAUGAAAUUAAGGAGAAUAAACUAAAUGCCUGAAUGAUGCCCAAGAAAACACAAACAUAAGGGUGAUGAGAAUGAUGAGGACAAUCCAGGACCUGAGGACAGAAUCCAAUAAGGAGAUAGAAACAUUGAAGAGGACUCAACAUGAAAUGAAGAUGGAACUGAAAACUCAAUAACUAAAUUAGAAAACUCAAAGGAAGUCUUAUAAGUAGAGUGAACUAAGCAGAAGAUAGACUAUAAGGACUUGAAGAUCAAAUAGAGGAUGUAGUCCAAAUAAGCAAAGAAUAUAAAAAACUUAAUAAAACACAGGAAAGGAACAUACAGGAUAUGUAAGAUACCAUGACCAAAAAAAAAAUCUUAGAAUUAUAGGCAGAGAUGACAGAUAAGAACCCCAAGUCAAAGACAUAGACCAGCUCUUCAACAAUAUCUACACACCUAACCAAAUUAAGGAAACACACGUUAAUAUAGAUACAAGAAGCACACAGAACACCAAAUAGAAAAGACCAGAAAAGAUAAUCCCCAUGUGUAGAUGUAACCAAUCGUCUUAUUAAAAU